GCUAAGGUAGCAUAAUCAAUUGUUUUUUAAUUGAAAACUAGGAUGAAAGGUUAAACAGACUAAGGUGGUUUGUAUAGUUCAACUAGUAAAUUAAAGUCAGGGUAAGAAUUCUUUGAUUUUCUAGGGGACGAUAAGACCCUAGAAGCUUUAAAAAAGAAAAAUUUUUAGUUGUUGCGUAAGUUUUUUACUGGGGCGGUAUUAGUGUUUUAACUAUUAAUAGUAAAGGAGGAUCCUUUAUAUAAAGAUAUUUCGGUGAAGUUACUCUAGGGAUAA
rnacentral:rRNA from 1 species